AGAGUUUGAUUCUGGCUCAGGACGAACGCUGGCGGCACGCCUAACACAUGCAAGUCGAACGGACGAGGAGGAGCUUGCUUCUCCGAGUUAGUGGCGGACGGGUGAGUAACACGUGAGCAACCUGCCCUUGGGAGGGGGAUAGCUUCUGGAAACGGAUGGUAAUACCCCAUAACAUAUAUUUUAGGCAUCUAAGAUAUAUCAAAGAAAUUCGCUCAAGGAUGGGCUCGCGUCUGAUUAGAUAGUUGGUGAGGUAACGGCCCACCAAGUCGACGAUCAGUAGCCGGACUGAGAGGUUGAACGGCCACAUUGGGACUGAGACACGGCCCAG
rnacentral:rRNA from 1 species